GAUUUUGCUUCACAUUAUCUCGAUCAAGAUAGAAUGAAGCUUUUGAGAAUUUGUAGUUGUCCUCUAUUGAUGAAGCUUUUGUUGGUGAAGCUUUGGAGUUGUAGCUUUUGUUGGUGAAGCUUUGGAGUUGAAGCUUUUGUUGGCACCAUAAAUUGGUUUUGCUUCAUAGUCUUGAUCAAGAGUGUGUGAAGCUUUUGAGAAUUGUGGUUGCCCUC
rnacentral:lncRNA from 1 species